UGAGCCAACAACGGUCAACAUAGAAACGGAGAAUCGCUAGGAGACACGUUUAAAAUGUUUAUGAUUUAGUUUUUCAUUCAAUACUGUGCACUGGGAAAUCCGUGUGGUACAACUGCAUAAUAUAGUAACUAAAAUAUUAUAAUCUCCAGCAGCCGGUCGAGACUGUGGUACGAAUUUCGUGAAUACAACCGCAAUCACUGUCAUAAUCU